AGUCAGUCAGUGGUCAGUAGCGUCAGCUUUGUUGUGGUGUACGCGUGGGUUUUGUGUUUUCUUGAACGCUUAUUUGGGCUUCAGGUGAACCAAAACUCUCUCAAAGCUUGUCCACAGUGGUCAGCAGCUGUGACACAAGGAGCAACUGUCUCAGCGGAGAGACGGUGGACGGCGGAUGAAUACUUCGGCUCCCGCGCCUUCUUCCGCAUCAUGUCCGACCCGCCGAUCCUGGUGGUGGGCGGCGUGCGUCAGAGGAGUUGAAAAAUGUGAGAGAAGACACAGUAUGUUGAGGGAAGGCAGCUGCACUAGUGACAGCAGCAGCAGAGCCCCACCACUGCUGCUGCUCCUCUCCUCUUCCCAGCACAGCAGCACACAGGACACAUUUCCAUCAUCUUUAAAUCCCGGACACUUGUGACUUGGUGAUAAUCUCACAGCAGCAAACCCUACAUUGCUCAGGUCAACUUCCAGCUAGAAUCAUAAUAUCUGGAGUUAUUUUUCCACAAAGAAGGAUUCAAAAUAUCCCCCCCAAAAAAUAAGAUAUUUUUAGAAAUGAAAAUCCACUCGAAUUUUCUGCCUGAAGCUCUCGUUAAAAUGACUCCCUCUUGAAUCUUGUGUCCGACUCCAGCUGUGUCCAAGAGAAUGGAUCUCCAGUUUGUAGUGAGACUUCCGAGCCGCCCAGACCUGUGAAGGCGAGCAGUCUGUCAGAUAAUGAGAGUAGACAACAUAAGCAACAUAAUGAGAGACAAAGUCACAAUAAUAGAGAUAAAAUGAAGGCACUCAAGUAUUAAUGAGAAAACAAAACAGAAUAAUAAGCAAAGUAAAAUAAUGAGACAAUAAGGCCAGCCAACAAAUAAUAGUGAAUUUAUUGUAGGAAGGGUCUGCUGUACUACUUAAUGACCAUUCAAGUCUACUUGUUAAAGAUGUGUUUACACUUUGAAGUGUCAUUUUCUUGUACUAUGAUACAUUUUUUACUAUUUUCUUCCACCUGCCUUAAUUAACAUUGAGUAGAGUCUCACUAAUACAACUUGAAUAUUACUCAGCCGGCAGUCUUUGCCAUGGUGGAGUGUGACACUGAAUCAGUACUGACAUUUUAUCAUUUACAUUUCAUUACUUUGAUUACUCAACAAAAUACUGCAUUGUUUUUUGUAACCUGCUGACUGGUGAAGGGACAACGUGUGCUCCUCAACACUUGGUUCUUGCCACGUGCCGCAGCAGACUGACAGCUUCCAGUGGGCCUGUCUGAGGUAAUGCACCACACAACAUUAGGAAUAGGAACAAUUAUUUCACUAAAACUUUAAUUACCUGCACUAAAAACUUUCAAUGAGUUUAUGUACUUUGUGAAUUUAGGAAUCUGGAACAAUGAUUGCACUUAUUUAACUACCUGCACUAAAGUGUUUGCUUUAGUUAUGGUGUUGACAGUAAGUAUAAAUACUUUAAGGGGCGUGACCUCCGCCGCAUUGCUUCAGCAGCCUUCAAGUCCCGGCAAUGAAACGGUUCGUGUGAGGAAGACCGCUUCUGGUGCUACUGGUGGAAAUUGUUACUAGUGUCGUGGUGGCAGCACGGGCCUCGGCACUCCCUGGCACCACGGCAGGUGUCAGUGAGGCAGGCAGGUGUUGGUUCAAGUCCUGGCAGUGUCACUUCGCUGCUGUAUUGUUUGGUGCAGCGGAUGAUGCUACGUUUUUCAUCACUUAGUGUAGAGUCUAUUUUUGCUUGACGUUAUUUGUGUUGGUAAGGCAUUUCCACUAUAUAGUGGUAGAUAUUCUGGGAAAUAAGGAAUUAGCAAUACUAAGACAUGCUUGAACAACACUCACCAGUGUGGAAGACUUGUCAGGCAGUGGCUGUAGUGGCUUCACUUGAACCACGACCAUGUUCUCCUCAACCCUUGGAAAGAGAACAAUUCAUCUGAAAUGGAGAUACAAAGAUAUUGGGGAAAAUUUAAGAGAGAGACGCUGCAAAGUGUAGCUGACAGUGUGCGUGUCGUCAUCAAGAGGAGGGGCUCUAAAAUGAAACAGUAGGACACUCGUGAAGACAUUCAUACUAUCUUUUCUCAAGGGAAGUGUGUGUCGUGUGUGUUAACAACGUCAGGCGCGGACAUUUUUUGCAUCAAGGGUGAUGUACGAUCCGGACAUGAAAAAAGUUUUUUUUUCUUUUAUAAUUUUCUAAUUUUUUUCCGCUUCUUUUGAUAUAUGUAACGUUUUGAUAAGAACUAAAAAAAUCCCCUUAUGUAAAGAGGUCUUCUGUUAUGAAAUUCCCACGGUUUCGCCCGCUGCGAGACAUGUCACACAACUUUUUUUUACAUUUUUUUUUCUCUUUUCAUAUAUUUUUCUGACAUACCCGUUCUUCUUCACUCUCCCAUGAAUAUCUACGGUUCUCUUGCUGCAUACAAUAUUAGAAAGCACGAAAUUCUAAGUCUAACUAUUUUCUCAAAUUGAUAUACGAAAAAAAAAUCAUAUAAUUAUUUUUUUUAUCGUAAAUCUAGCAAAUAGUUAAUGUAUCUGCAUUAGAUAUCUUUUGCAUUAAUAUUUUAUUUAUUUUCAAACAAUUAAACACUGGUUUUUACUUAGAAAUAUGGCGAAAUAUAACAAAAAUUGUUUUCACCCGCCUUCUCCCCUCCCACCCGGUAAUUAGGGGUGAAAUCAUGAAUAGCUUUAGGCCUUAUACACAAAACCAAUCGGAGUAACUAAAACUAUGUCUGCUUUUUCAACAUAUUCUGAUGUAUAUAUCGCGUGAAUUUUAAGUCCCUGGCUGCAAUAGGUGAAUUAGUCACCCCUUAAACUUUAUGACAUAAUAUCUCAAAAUGGCGGAUUUUAGCAUAUAAAAAUGAUCUGCUCUGUUUUUAUUGGUGUUACAGACAGAUGGGCUAUUGCGGCUUAUCAAACUGUGAGAGGCGAAUAAAGUCUGCUGUCGUCAUUUUUGUUUGGAGUUGAUUUUGAUUUUUGACAAAUAUUUGUUUUUUUUUUUUACUUUUCAUCGAAAAAAAAUCGUACAAUAAAAGAAAAAAGAUAGCAGACUUUGUUCUCCUAUCCUUCCUGAUCAAAAUACUUUUUAAAUAAAUGAGGGAGGAGAUACGAGUUGAACACAGGCAAUUUAACAAGGGAUUAGCGAUCCUUCAACCACCCUCAAGUGUAUGAAUAAAGGUGAUUAGUUACUUUGAUGUGGAAAGACUGUAAUUUGUAAAGAUGAGAAUAAAUGAGAAUAAAUUAUU